UAGGGAAUCUUGCGCAAUGGGCGAAAGCCUGACGCAGCCAUGCCGCGUGAAUGAUGAAGGUCUUAGGAUUGUAAAAUUCUUUCACCGGGGACGAUAAUGACGGUACCCGGAGAAGAAGCCCCGGCUAACUUCGUGCCAGCAGCCGCGGUAAUACGAAGGGGGCUAGCGUUGCUCGGAAUUACUGGGCGUAAAGGGAGCGUAGGCGGAUAGUUUAGUCAGAGGUGAAAGCCCAGGGCUCAACCUUGGAAUUGCCUUUGAUACUGGCUAUCUUGAGUAUGGAAGAGGUAUGUGGAACUCCGAGUGUAGAGGUGAAAUUCGUAGAUAUUCGGAAGAACACCAGUGGCGAAGGCGACAUACUGGUCCAUUACUGACGCUGAGGCUCGAAAGCGUGGGGAGCAAACA
rnacentral:rRNA from 2 species